UGGGGAAUCUUGCCCAAUGGGCGAAAGCCUGAGGCAGCAACGCCGCGUGUGGGAUGAAGGCCCUUGGGUUGUAAACCACUUUCAGCAGGGACGAAGAUGACGGUACCUGCAGAAGAAGCCCCGGCCAACUACGUGCCAGCAGCCGCGGUAAGACGUAGGGGGCAAGCGUUGACCGGAUUUAUUGGGCGUAAAGAGCUCGUAGGCGGCUCAGAAAGUCGGGUGUGAAACCUCCAGGCUCAACCUGGAGACGCCACCUGAUACUGCUGUGGCUAGAGUCCGGUAGGGGAGCACGGAAUUCCCGGUGUAGCGGUGAAAUGCUUAGAUAUCGGGAGGAACACCAGUGGCGAAGGCGGUGCUCUGGGCCGGAACUGACGCUGAGGAGCGAAAGCGUGGGUAGCAAACAGG
rnacentral:rRNA from 1 species